AGAGUUUGAUCCUGGCUCAGGAUGAACGCUAGCGGCAGGCCUAACACAUGCAAGUCGAGGGGCAGCAGACUACUUCGGUGGUGCUGGCGACCGGCGAACGGGUGAGGAACGCGUUUGUAACCUACCCCUAACUGUGGCAUAGCUCCCGGAAACGGGAAUUAAUUCCACAUAAUAUUUAAACAUGGCAUCAUGUUUUCAUUAAAGCUCCGGCGGUUAGGGAUGGGCAUGCGUGACAUUAGCUUGUUGGUAAGGUAACGGCUUACCAAGGCUACGAUGUCUCGGGGGUCUGAGAGGAUGAUCCCCCACACUGGUACUGAGACACGGACCAGACUCCUACGGGAGGCAGCAGUGAGGAAUAUUGGGCAAUGGACGCAAGUCUGACCCAGCCAUGCCGCGUGCAGGAUGAAUGCCCUAUGGGUUGUAAACUGCUUUUAUACAGGAAGAAACCCUCUGACGUGUUAGAGGUUGACGGUACUGUACGAAUAAGCAUCGGCUAACUCCGUGCCAGCAGCCGCGGUAAUACGGAGGAUGCAAGCGUUAUCCGGAUUUAUCGGGUUUAAAGGGUGCGUAGGCGGGGCAAUUAGUCAGUGGUGAAAUCCUGCGGCUUAACCGUAGAACUGCCAUUGAUACUGUUGCCCUUGAGUAUAGUUGAGGUGGGCGGAAUGUGUAAUGUAGCGGUGAAAUGCAUAGAGAUUACACAGAACACCAAUUGCGAAGGCAGCUCACUAAGCUAUAACUGACGCUGAGGCACGAAAGCGUGGGGAGCGAACAGGAUUAGAUACCCUGGUAGUCCACGCUGUAAACGAUGAUCACUCGUUGUUGGCAAUAUAUCGUCAGCGACUAAGCGAAAGCAUUAAGUGAUCCACCUGGGGAGUACGAUCGCAAGAUUGAAACUCAAAGGAAUUGACGGGGGCCCGCACAAGCGGAGGAACAUGUGGUUUAAUUCGAUGAUACGCGAGGAACCUUACCUGGGCUUAAAUGCAGAACGACGUACCGGGAAACUGGUAUUCCCUUCGGGGCGGACUGCAAGGUGCUGCAUGGCUGUCGUCAGCUCGUGCCGUGAGGUGUCGGGUUAAGUCCUAUAACGAGCGCAACCCCUAUCGUUAGUUGCCAGCGGAUAAUGCCGGGGACUCUAACGAAACUGCCAGUGUAAACUGUGAGGAAGGUGGGGAUGACGUCAAGUCAGCACGGCCCUUAUGUCCAGGGCUACACACGUGUUACAAUGGCCGGAACAGAGGGCAGCUACCUGGUGACAGGAUGCAAAUCUCAAAAUCCGGUCUCAGUUCGGAUCGAAGUCUGCAACUCGACUUCGUGAAGGUGGAUUCGCUAGUAAUCGCGCAUCAGCAACGGCGCGGUGAAUACGUUCCCGGGCCUUGUACACACCGCCCGUCAAGCCAUGGAAGCUGGGGAUACCUGAAGUCUGCAACUCGACUUCGUGA
rnacentral:rRNA from 1 species